AUGGUGAUCGCAUAUGAUAGUGGGACUGGGAAGAAGCACAAGCAUAAGCGGCGAACGGCUCCUAUCAUCGGAAGGCCGCCGGACCAAUGGAUUAAACCACCUACGGGCUGGAACAAGCUUAAUGUGGACUGUGCGUUUGCUAUGGAGGCGAGCACCGGAGGCGCUGGCAUGAUUCUCCGAGAUGAGAAUGGAGCAAUCAUCUUCGCGUCAAGCCGUCAUCUGCAUACUUGUCAUAGCUCACUUGAAGGGGAGCUGAUUGCGUGUAUGGAAGGCAUUUCACUGACAUAUGUGGGGAGCAGGAGCACGCAGCCGUUCAUCCUUGAAACAGAUUCUCAGGACGCAGCCAACAUGAUCAAGCAGCUGGAGAUCGAUCAAUCCCCGACGGCAUUCAUUACCGGUGAUAUCAAGAGUUUACUCGUGCGAGGUAGACACUUUUCUGUCGCUUGUAAUAAUGUUGCACAUCAUUUAGCCCAGAUAGGGCAUCAUCACAUGCGUACAGCAGUUUGGCUUAGAUCUGGACCAAAUGAGAUUGAUUUGCUACACCAACAUGAUUGUAAUUCUCAAGGUUAA
rnacentral:rRNA from 1 species